AUUGAACGCUGGCGGCAGGCUUAACACAUGCAAGUCGAACGAGUGGCGGACGGGUGAGUAAUGCUUGGGAAUCUAGCUUAUGGAGGGGGAUCACUACGGGCACCUGUAGCUAAUACCGCAUACCAUCGGAUGAGCCCAAGUGGGAUUAGGUAGUUGGUGCGGUAAAGGCUCACCAAGGCGACGAUCGCGAGCUGGUCUGAGAGGAUGACCAGCCACACGGGGACUGAGACACGGCCCAGACUCCUACGUGAGGCAGCAGUGGGGAAUAUUGCGCAAUGGGGGAAACCGGACGCAGCCAGGCCGCGUGAAUGAAGAAGGCCUUCGGGUUGUAAAGUUCUUUCGGUAGCGAGGAGUUAACUACAGAAGAAGCACCGGCUAACUCCGUGCCAGCAGCCGCGGUAAUUC
rnacentral:rRNA from 1 species